UUCACCUGACAUCACCAACCCAUCACCAGUAUUGAAUAAAUUCAUAACCUAUGAAAAUUAUUAUGCUAGAACUAGUAACAAGAAAAUGAAUUUCUCCAAAGUGUAAGCAUAAACCAAAAUGGACACCACACUGGUAAUUAACGACUAUGAACCCAUUAUAGUAACAUAACUAGAAAAUCCUAUAUCUAACCCCGUUAACCUUACACAAGAACUCUCCUGGAAAGAUUAAAAGGAAGAGAAGGAACUCGGCAAAUCUUAACCCCGCCUGUUUACCAAAAACAUCGCCUCUUGGUCAGAUAUAAGAGGUCUAGCCUGCCCAGUGUUUUAGUUUUAAUCAACGGCCGCGUGAUUUAAACGCGCGAAGGUAGCAUAAUAAUUUGUUCUUUAAAUGAGGACUUGUAUCAAUGGCAUCACGAGGGUUAUACUGUCUCCUCUCCCCAAUCAGUGAAACUAAUCUCCUUGUGAAAAAGCAAGGAUAAGAUCAUAAGACGAGAAGACCCCAUGGAGCUUAAAACACGGCAACAACCCUAAUAUCAUAACCAAUUUAAUUUUAAGCCCUGUAUGCUAGUUUUAGGUUGGGGUGACCACGGAGUAAAGCAAAACCUCCACAACGAAAAGGGGUUAUACCCUUAUCUAAGAGAUACUUCUCUAAGAAUUAUUAAAAAUAACGUCCAAUGAUCCGACUAUCGACCAAUGAACCAAGUUACCCUGGGGAUAACAGCGCAAUCCACCCUGAGAGCCCCUAUCGACGAGUGGGCUUACGACCUCGAUGUUGGAUCAGGAUAUCCCAGUGGUGCAGCCGCUACUAAAGG
rnacentral:rRNA from 1 species